GGGAGUGAUUUCUUACUAAUAAACUGCCUCGGCCCUCAUAGGACAGAAAAUUAGGUAGGCGGAGUAGACAGAAGAGAAUGCUGGGAAAAAGAAGCUGAGUCAGUGAGUCGCCAUGAUUCUCCUGCUCCAGACAGACGCAGGUUAAGAUCCUCCCUGACCCGAGACCCUUUUCUGUGAUAUGAAACAGAACGUCACCUCAGCUGGACAGAAGGAUACCCAUUCAUUUCCACACACUGCUAGAAAACACCAAUGAAGAUGAAGUUGUUUGGUGUGACCCUAAGGAUGCAUUGCCAUAGAUGUACCUCUUUACAAGGUCCUUAGUGGCCCGUAGACAUGGAGGACAAUCAGGGGGGAGGGAAGAAAGUGAUGAGCUGCUGAUGUACUGCAUUUGGAUGAAGAAUGAUAGGAAAGAUGGAAACUAAAUGCAGUGGAUAGGGAAGAACUUGCUUCACAAGGUGAGUUGGAAACCUCAGGGCAGUCCCCAUACAGAUAAAACUAGAAAACAGAAUGUUCCCAUGCCCAUGCUUUGAAGACAAAUGUGGCAUUCGUGAAGGACACAGGACCUACCCAUUCAGUGCACCACAGUAUGCCACACCAUAACUACCUCUAACAAAUGGCAACUCUGAAGCUACUCUAUAAGCCUACAAAGAACCAUGGUUUGAGAUUUGAAAGCCUAGCUUAUACUCUAGCUAGCAAUGUGUACGUGUUCAGAAGCCUAGAGAGAUAAAUGUAACUGAUGGGGCACAUAGCACACAGCAGUUACUCUAAUACCCAGCCUCUAAAGCCUUCCCCAAAUCAUGUCACAGGUGUUUCCUCAGUAUGAAUGCUUGCUCACUAAUAUAUGGACAACAACACAGGCCAAUCCUCAUAUCCAACAGUAAUACCCUAGGGUCUAGAGUUGAGAAAGACUGUUCUGCAGAGUCUCCUCAGUGACAGCACAUAGACCGGGAAAAGCAGCUGGGUGGAACACUGCUCUCCUUUCUUAGAUCUGGGCAAGGCUUCCUAAGAUACAUCUGUUUUCUUAAUUCGUUCUUUAUGAAACCAUUACUCACCUCCAAGUUCAUAACUAUAUGCCAGAUUUCUGGUUCUUCAUCCCCCCACUCCUAAGACAUUAAAAUAUGGAUAUUAGCUUCCCUAAAUCAAGAAAUUUGUACCUCCAAUAAAGUAGCUGUCCCACACAAUCAGUGCUGUAGAUAAUCUGCAGAGAGGGCCACACAUAUUAAACUACACGAAAUGGGCCCUUGCACUUCAGAUAAGAAAAUGGAUUUGUUAUAUCUGCAGAAAGGUGGGAAUGAGAGUGAAACCCUGCCAUACCUCUGAUUUCAUCUCUAUGCUGACUGCACACACCUACCUAUCAUAUUGGUAAACAGACAGACAAAGUGCCUUAGCUGUUCCUUGCAAAAAUCUCUGAUAUGGGAAGGACCCAUGCACAGUUCUCAUUUCCAUGAACCCAAUGCCAAAGCAUUUUGUUUAUUGCCUGGAUAGCAAAAUUUUGCUGAAGAGUUAUCAAGUAUCUUGAUACAGCCAAUCCUAUAAAUUCUAUAAUUAAUACGGACUUGUUUUGGAUCAUUCAGAUAUCAGAGACUUCAACCUGAGAAUAUGGCGGCAAUGGCAUACAGCAUCUUGUCUGGCAGAGAAUGGUACUGGCCAAAUCACCCAUCUCUCUUUUCUUAGAUGUUUUGUAAUGCCUUCAUUUCCCAACCGACCUAAAUGUAGAUGUACAUUCAAGACCCUUUUACUUCCUGUCUUGUGGCAUUCAGGUUAAACAUUAGAUCCAUAAUUCAGGCACUAUCCUAUUUCUGGUUAACAUGUUUUUGUGGUCCAGCCCAGAGCUUGCAUCCCCUAAGCCAGUACCCCACAACUGAGAUGCACAUCCAUCUCUAUGCCACUCUUGCACAGACAUGUGAUAGCCCUAGAUAAAGUGAGUGAUGCUUCAAUUGAUGGAGAAGCAAUAAUAAAAUAGACAUUAUUACUGAUUGAUAAAAACCAUAUCCCUUCUUUUAUUUUUUAAAAUUUCAUCUUUAUGCUUAGAUAAUAAGCAGUAUGAUUUAUCCAUUUAAGAACCCAGUUCAAUCCAUGCAAAAGUUAGUGACGCUAAUUACAAUUAGACUCUUUCUACCUCAAUUCCAUAUGUGAUGUGGGAGUGUCAUAUAUCAAUCUGUUGAUUUUAUUGGUUAAUUAAAGAAACUGCUUGGCUCACCUCAUAGGUUAGAACAUUGUUGGGAGGAGUAAACAGAAUAGGAUUCUUGGCGAAAGAGGAAGUGAGGUCAGACUCUGCUCUGCUCCUGGAGAGACGCCAUGCUCAGCUCUCCCGGGUAGACCCAAGAGCUCUGCUCUCUGGAGCAGAGACACCACGAUGGACUUUGGCUAGAAUCUUCCCGGUAAGCGCACCUUGGGAUGCUUACACACAUCAUUAGAAAUGGGCUAGUCCAGAUGCGAAAAUUGGCCUGUAAGGGCUAGAGUUCAUGGGUCAAGCAGUUCUUUAAAUGAAUACAGUUUGUGUGUUGUUAUUUCGGACAUGAGCUAGCCAAGCGGCCGGGGUGCCGGGGACGCAGCCCUGCCGCCGCCCUGCCGCCGCUCCUAUUUCAACACAUAUGCACCAAACUACAGCUACCACAAAAUACUAUAUGAUCUCAUUUCUGUUUCCUGUAGUUCUGAGACGUAUUCAUCUUGCCGAGUCAGUAGUUCCCUCAUUUUAUAGACAAUCAGUGUUCUACUCUACAGAUACGACAGAAUUUGAUUAGUUACACAAUUGUUGGAAAAGUUUUAAUUACUUCCUGUUAUAAAAAAUAAACAUAAUACACAUAGUAUUUUAACUAAUUCUGGAGACAGAAUUUAUUUAUUUUGUUUAAACAAAUACAGUUAAGAUUGGAUAGGUUACAUGGUAAGUAUAUGUUUACUUGUCUAAGAAAGUAUCACCCAAUAUUCAAGAGCACCUGCAACUUUUAUUCUUACAGAGAAAUAUGUAAGAAUGUGCUUUGGUUCAUUGCUCUGGGUUUUGGUUCCUGUAUGGGUAAGCAGCAGCAUUUUCUGUGGUGGCAAUUUUUAUGUCCUGAUGGCUAACCACCCUGAGUAGGUUCAAUAUCAACUUGUAUGUCUUUCCGGGAGAACCCUCUUUUUGUUUUCCGGUUUUCAUUGAGUUGUUUGCCUUAUUUCUGAAUCAUAAGAUUGUUCUUUUUACAUAAUCUAGAUACAAAUUGCUUCCUAAGAAUAGACAUUGCUGAUAAUUCCUUACAUUUUAUGGAAUUUUUUCUUGAGGAGUACAAGAGUUCUUGGUGAAAUUCAAAUGAUUAUUUUUUAUGUGAUUCAUAUUUUGAAUCACUAAACUUAGUCCAACUUGGGGAAAAGAAAAUUUCCCCCUUUUUUUGUAGAGGUUUUAUCCUAUUUACCUUUCAUUCACUUCUGAAAUCCAGCUCUGAUUAAAUGUAUGCAUUCUUAAGUUAAAGUUAACAGCUCAUUUUUUUUCCUAUUUUGGUGACCAAAACUCAACAAAAAAUGUUUUGUUACUGAUUGAAUAAUCUUCAACUCUAUUUUACACACAUGUGCGAGCACACACACUUACACACACACACACACACACACACACACACGUUUGGAUUUUGGAUUUUAGAUUCACUGUGCCAUUAUCUGCAAAAAAGCCCCCCAUGUGUUCGAUAGUUUUGGAGUCAAGCUUUAACUUAUCCACAUAGCCAAUGAAGGUGAACUUGAUGCCUUAACUAUUGAUUCUUUUGUUCCUAAACUUUGUUUCCAUUUUCAUAUAUCUUUUCAGAAUUAUCCUCUCAAUUUUUGCAAUUUUUAGUGUUGAGGUAUUGUAUGUCUUUGAUGAAGUGAGCCUUUCUAGUUUCAUGUUUGUUUUGCUAAUAAAAAUAUUAGUUCUUUUUUUUAUUUUAAGCAACAUGUCAAUCAAUGAUAAACAGACCAACAAUCAAUUCCUGUUUUGACAUUGUGUCCUAUAGUCUUGUUAAAUGUAUUGUAUAGUUCUCUGUGGAUUCCUCGGGCCUAAUUCAUCCUCCCUUAAGAUUCCAGUCUGCUUACUCCAGCCUUUGUCGCUGACAUAUUUAGUUGAAGUGUGCAUGUGUAUUCAGGUGUUCGUGCGUGUGCUGCAGAAAAAAAAGAACUCUUUAGAAAACAAAUGAUUUUAGGCACAGGAUAUGUUUGUAAUUGAAAGGAGCACAUGGGGAAUAUGGAGGAUGGAGGGGCUGAGAAGCUUGGUAAAAAAAUAACCUCUCAUCCUUCCAACUAAGAGAUCUCCAAGGUUUAAUCUUGAGCAGAGACUCUGGCAAGCAUCAUGAUGACAUUUCCUGAAGGAGUAGCCUCUUUUCGCUGUUUGACAGUGAGCUUUCCCUUCCCAAAUUCAUCUAAAAUGUUACACAAGACUGAAAACUUCCCAGACAUUUUUCUGAACUCAGUGGCUUCCUUGAUGAUCUAACACUUCAGAUUGAGUUUGCUUCUCAUAAUCUAUUACAAAUAAAAGUAUAUAAAAGGAAACAUUUAUGUUUUUUCCCCAAUAAGCAUGGUAAUAUGAUAUUCAUGUAUGCUGUUUUAUCCACCUAUCAGCAGCCCUUUUUCAUUAGACAGUAGCACUCCGCUGUACAAACAUGUUAAGUGUGUCUCUAUAACUUGUUAAAUGGCAUUUGAGUAGAUUCUAUGUCAGGGCUACUAGGAACAAAUUUGAGUAUGAAGAUUUGAGCAGUUUUUUUUUUCAGAUGUAUAGUUUUACUUUUAUGGGUAAAUAACUAGAGUGAAGAUGUUGGCUUGUCAUAUUGUGGUGCAGAACUACUGGUUCAGAAGGCCGUUUAGUUUUUCAGAUGACAUAUCUUCUGUUUUUACAUCUUGUGAAUACACAGAACUCUGGUAAUGUGUGUGCUUCUAUUAAGCCCACUGAAGCAGUAUCUCUGUACACAGUUUCUUUUGAGCACUGGUCCCAUAACCCAUUUCUCUGUUUAUGGCCAUGACUUUCUAUUCAAGAUCAAAGGUGAGGAAAGCAGAACUUUCAAUUCCC